rnacentral:rRNA from 1 species
UACGAAGGGGGCUAGCGUUGUUCGGAUUUACUGGGCGUAAAGCGCACGUAGGCGGUUUGUUAAGUCAGGGGUGAAAUCCCGGAGCUCAACUCCGGAACUGCCUUUGAUACUGGCAAGCUAGAGUCCGGAAGAGGUAAGUGGAACUCCUAGUGUAGAGGUGGAAUUCGUAGAUAUUAGGAAGAACACCAGUGGCGAAGGCGGCUUACUGGUCCGGAACUGACGCUGAGGUGCGAAAGCGUGGGGAGCAAGCAGG